rnacentral:rRNA from 1 species
GCAGUGAGGAAUAUUGGACAAUGGGCGCAAGCCUGAUCCAGCCAUGCCGCGUGCAGGAUGACGGUCCUAUGGAUUGUAAACUGCUUUUAUACGAGAAGAAACACUCCAACGUGUUGGAGCUUGACGGUAUCGUAAGAAUAAGGAUCGGCUAACUCCGUGCCAGCAGCCGCGGUAAUACGGAGGAUCCAAGCGUUAUCCGGAAUCAUUGGGUUUAAAGGGUCCGUAGGCGGUCUUAUAAGUCAGUGGUGAAAUCUCCCCGCUCAACGGGGAAACGGCCAUUGAUACUGUAGGACUUGAAUUAUUAGGAAGUAACUAGAAUAUGUAGUGUAGCGGUGAAAUGCUUAGAGAUUACAUGGAAUACCAAUUGCGAAGGCAGGUUACUACUAAUUGAUUGACGCUGAUGGACGAAAGCGUGGGUAGCGAACAGGAUUAGA